rnacentral:rRNA from 1 species
UACGUAGGGGGCAAGCGUUGUCCGGAUUCAUUGGGCGUAAAGCGCGCGUAGGCGGUUACUCAAGUCGGAUGUGAAAGCCCUCGGCUUAACUGAGGAAGUGCACCCGAAACUGAGUAGCUAGAGUACCAAAGAGGGUCGCGGAAUUCCCGGUGUAGAGGUGAAAUUCGUAGAUAUCGGGAGGAACACCGGUGGCGAAGGCGGCGACCUGGGUGGACUGACGCUGAGGCGCGAAAGCGUGGGGAGCAAACAGG